UUCAAAUUUAUAAUUAACGUAUUUAAAGUGAUACUCUUAUUCUCAAUCGGUACUUACACAUGUAUAACAAAUAUAAGUUUUGAGUGAUCAACCUAAAUCUACUUACUAGAUAAUGCAUUUAUGAAAAAUACUUUUAUAACUAGAUUGUAGCCUUGUAUUUUAUAGCGGAAAACACAAAAAUAUUAAAUGAUUGGGGUGAGCGAUCUUCUAUCGUCUAAUAAGAAAGCGUUUCCGUUCCACUGAGAGCUCCAAGUUUUAGCCUCAAAGUCAGUGCUACAGUGUAUCUCUUCCUGUUUGCCGACGGCUGUGUGGAGGAGUUGCUGCCCCUGCCCCGCUUUCUCCCAGUGCCUGGAGUAGACAGAACCUAUACAAGUUCUUCCGAUUCGCCAUCAAAGACGAAAGCCAGAAAGUUAGCGUAUAUCUCUUCCGCGCCCUCGUCGGAAACAUAUACACCUGUUGGAUCCCUCGGAUCAUAGAAGGAUUUAUUUAACUUGUUUUCAUGAUAAACGAGUUCGUCGUUGUCUAGAUAGUGAACGUUAUUUUUGGACUGACACAGUCUAAGAAUUUUCGUGUUAAUCAGUUUAGCAGCAGAGUUCAUACUUUUCACAAGAGGAUUAGUGCCUUUGCGCGGCAAAAUACUUGAAAACGCUACCGGGACGCCCGGCCACGUUUCGGCGACGGUGAUCAAUGCGUUGUUAGUGUCUGCGAUGAUAUCUUCGCUGCUUCUGUUGCGCAUGUCAUUCGUGCCGAGGUGGAUGACUACCGAUGCCACAGCCUCAUUGUCUCCAAAUUUCAAAUUGGAAAGCAAGCCCUCUACAAACGUAAUUGAUUCACCAGCCAAAGAAACGUUCCUUAUAUCUGAAUCCUUCACGUGUAUUCGAGCGCAAUUGGAGCCGCCGAGAAUAAUGUGCACUUUAGAUUUACCCGCCCUAAUGGGUUGUGACGUCACUUCCGUCGCUCGCCGGACUGGGGAUAUCCAAUGUUUCACGGACGCUGUUUGGGACCACCGUAGAAUCGUCUUCACUGCUGUUUAACCCAUCACUCACGUUGAGGGAGCGCUGGCCUUCCAUUUUCUCAGCCGCAUAGUUGCCUUACUUUUCCAUAGGACAUUCUGCCUGUGUGUGCCCUUCCUCCUUACAGUAGUGACAAAUAACGUCGUAAAGACAGUCUUUGCGCAGAUGGUCGUUUUCUUUGCAGUUAAAACAUGCUUUUAUACUCAUAAGCCGCACUGCCUCUGAGUAUGAUUGCCUCGGUCGUUGAAACCUGUCCGGGCACUUGAAAUACGGGUGGUCAGUUUUCUGACAUAUUUUACACCUUCUGCGGUUAUUGUCCGCAAAUAGUUUGAUUUUGAAUUUCCCUAUUUCAAUGCUUGGAGCAAGAAUUGGAAUACAGUUCAGUAUUUUAACGCACCUUGUACCAUUGGAGAUGUUUGUUUGUUUGUUUUUUAAUUUUACCUCUUACUAGGCUUCCAUCGAUAACAUCACCAAACUGAUUAAUAGUGGUGGCUAUGGUGGUAUACUGCAUUUCGUAGGGGCAUCCUUCAAAGUAAUAUUUGUUAUAACACUGUCCGAAUCUGAAAGCCUAACAUGUCUUUCUUGUAAACUCAGUCCUGAUAUAAGUGAAGACACUUUUGUCUCCUCGUUAUUCACCGUUAUUAUGCAACUGCGUUCGGUUAUUUGAAUCGCCUGAAUAGAUUUUUCAUCGAUUGUGUGUUUUAAUGACUUGAGCACUUCUUCGUGUGACAGUUUUUUAAGACCUCGAGUGUUUAAUUCAACUGAGAAUGGUCUAGUUAAUAGAUCCGCCAUCUUGGAUUAGGAAAAAGGGGCAGGUUGGGAAAAAAAGGCCAUUUCAAAAGUUCAUUUCCAAACCCUUACUCUCCGUCUCUUUCUCUCCUCUCCUCCCCGGUGGGUCUACAACGGUCUAGAAAUGUUUUCCAGGUACCAAACGUCUGUGAUAACUACUAUAUUACCUCUUCAGUCA